rnacentral:rRNA from 1 species
AUUGAACGCUGGCGGCAGGCCUAACACAUGCAAGUCGAGCGGAUGAAGGGAGCUUGCUCCUGGAUUCAGCGGCCGACGGGUGAGUAAUGCCUAGGAAUCUGCCUGGUAGUGGGGGAUAACGUCCGGAAACGGGCGCUAAUACCGCAUACGUCCUGAUGGAGAAAGUGGGGGAUCUUCGGACCUCACGCUAUCAGAUGAGCCUAGGUCGGAUUAGCUAGUUGGUGGGGUAAAGGCCUACCAAGGCGACGAUCCGUAACUGGUCUGAGAGGAUGAUCAGUCACACUGGAACUGAGACACGGUCCAGACUCCUACGGGAGGCAGCAGUGGGGAAUAUUGGACAAUGGGCGAAAGCCUGAUCCAGCCAUGCCGCGUGUGUGAAGAAGGUCUUCGGAUUGUAAAGCACUUUAAGUUGGGAAGAAGGGCAGUAAGUUAAUACCUUGCUGUUUUGACGUUACCAAAAGAAUAAGCACCGGCUAACUUCGUG